CUACUGGUUUCACUUGUUUGACCAAAAAGUGACAUCAAAUGUCAGCGUCAGCUUGUCAGAGUGCAGUGUUUAAACAAUGCAAGUUUAUUUCAAAGCGCUGAUAUGUAGGGCGUACAAAAUGUAUGUGACGCCUACUAUCGACUCACCAUGCUGCCUGCCUUUUUCCGUAGGGAAACUUCAACUUCAUCGCAUUACGACGAGGGGCAUUUCAUUGAUUGUGAAAGUAGGCCUUCUUUCAUCAACCACCUGUUGAUCUUUUCUUGGGAGCACUGUCUAAAAUGUAUUCGGCUCAAAAACUCGUAAUGUGACACCAUAAUUUUUAGAUUCAAAGCUACCUUGCCUGAGCGUCAAUGACAAUAUUUUUUUAAGGCGAAAGUGAAUCAAUGUACGGCCAAUUAUUAAUUGUUUAUUCAUUUAUUAUUUAUUCAUUUAUUAAUUAAUUAUUUAUUCAUUUAUUAAUUAUUUAGUCAUCCAAUCAUAAACUGUUGCUAUGCUAUCAUGUUACAUUCCCAUCCAAUAAUAAAAAAAGGAGUAAUGUGCUCCUUCAUAGUCUUCCGGCUUUGCUUUGGAAGUGAAGAAAAAACACUUUGGAAAGUUUGUGCAUCAAAAAUGCCUAAAGCUAAGAAGAAGACGCAGGUUACUAAAGAUGAGACAAUUGAGUUGACCAAAAAUAAUCAAGAUGUUUGCUGUGAUUAUGCUAUUAGGUCAAGAAGAUACAGGAAGCUUGACCCCAAGUUGCAGCGGUGGCAGCAGCAGCCUAGGAUCAGGAUCAAUAUCCAAAGUGGAGUUUCUAGAAGCCAAAAUCCAAUGACAAGAUAAAAUAAUCAAGGAUCUUGAGCAAGAACGGGCUUUCUUACGCAAGAAAAUCAUGGGGGGAAAGAAGAAAUCAACUCGGCCAAAAAUAUUUACUGUGGAAAAGGACAGUGAGGAAGAUGGCGACAUGGAUAUAAGUGACAUUUCCCCAUCUUCUCCAAACAUCAGUGAGUCCUCAGACAGUGAUGUUUCCAUCCGAAGACGGAAGAAGCCACAUCACACACGGUCACUUGCAACUGUGGCUGUGCCUGUGCAAGCUCAUAAGAGAGUCAAAGGGCCAGCUGAGGUUAUUCACAGAUAUCAAAAAGUCCUCAAAAGCUUCAGCCAUGUUCGCACGAUGACUCAAGCCUUCAGGAUCAAUGGUGUGGAUCGGGGAACCAUCAAGAUGACUGCUCCAAUUGCUGAGCUCAAGAUUGUGGACCCUGAAAUAUUCGCCAGUCUAAAGUUUGAUCCUGCAAGUUAGACACUGCUGUCCUUUCCUAAGAGGUGUGCAACCCAAGUUACCCCUCCGAAAAAGUCUAAGAUAGAGGACAUGAAAUCUAAAGGCCAAUUCCUUCCCUUGUUAAUUAAGUAUUAAAAUUCUGGCUAGCUACUUUGUUAAGUUAAAAAGUUUGGAAUGUUGUCCAAGAAGUGUGAAAUAAAAAAAAGUGUUGUUUAGCUACAAAAAAAGUUUAUAUUGGCCUUAUAUUGGCACACAGCAUAAAGCUCCGUAAACUGACAAUUAUUUAGGUGUACAUUUAUUUUCAAAGCCUUCAACUAAAUACUUUUUUUAGUAAACCUUUUUUUGUCACUGCAUAAUGCCAUUUGUGUUAUUUCACAGUUGUAUUAACUGUCUGGGAUAUAGAGAUUCUGAAGCGUUAUACACCUUUAUACUUUUAAGCUUUAUACUCCUUUAUACACCAAAAAGAUGUUAGCUGAAUGUGUUUUAUUUUUAUUAAAGAGAUGUUUAAACAAUCACUUAAGUAGUUGAUUAAUAAAGAAGAUAUUUCUA